rnacentral:tRNA from 1 species
GGGGUUGUGGCUCAAUGGUAGAGCGCUCGCCUAGCAUGUCAGAGGCCCUGGGUUUGAUCCUCAGAACCUCA